CCAGUUUGAAAACCCCGGUUAAACUGCGAUUACAAAGCUCAGACCGCUGUAUCCCACAAUGCAGUGCGCUCAGUUUGAGCUUGAGUUCACACAUGUACAUGGACGCAUUGGGCAGAGGACUCUUCAGUCGUGCUGUGACUGUGAUCUGAAGCCGUGUGGUUGUGUGUGUGUUUGUAGAGUGUUAUGAUGGACGUCUUCAGCCGCUUCGGUCCGCUGCAGUCAGUGGAGCUGAGCGAGAGAUCAGGAGCGUCUGGAGCGAGCGGCAGCGGUGUGUCCAGAUACUUCACCUCCAGACACAGACAGGUGACGCCUUCACAGCCGCAGCACAAGCACCAGCUUACUGACACCUUCACCAAAUCAUCAUCAUAACUGUGUGUGUGUGUGUGUGUGUGNNNNNNNNNNCCACCCAGAGAACACCCCACUGAUCAUCUCCAGCACCGACAGACCUGUCAGAACCGGCAUCCGCAGUGAGUGUGUGCGUGAGUGUGUGUGUGUGUGUGUGUGAGCGUGAGUGUGUGUGAUGAAGGUGGUGGUGGUGAUGAUGAUGUGUGUGUGUCUAGAGUGGAUCCAGCAGUACUCAGACUCGCUGAUCAAAGCUUCAUCACUACAGCAGGACAUCGAUCAGUUCAUGAAUGACUACGACACACAGAAGGAGGAGGUGAGACGCACACACACACACACACUCGCACACAUGCACUCACUCACUCACACUCAUUCACUCACUCACUUACAUGCGCGCACACACACACACACACACACGCACGCACGCACUCACUUGCACACACACACACACACACUCAAUCACUCACACUCACUCACACUCACAAACACACACUCUCACACUUACACACACUCACGCACACACACACUCACUCAUUCACUCACUCACUCAUUCACUCACUCACACGCACACACACUCACUCACUCACACUCACUCACUCACGCACGCACACUCACGCAUUCUCACACACUCGCACGCUCACUCACUCACUCACGCACACAUACACACUCACACUCACUCACACGCACACACACUCACACUCACUCACACACUCACUCAUUCACUCACUCACACGCACGCGCACACUCACUCACUCACACGCACGCACACUCACGCAUUCACUCACACACUCACACGCACACUCACUCACUCACUGACACAUUCACACUCACUCACACGCACACACUCACUCACACGCACACUCACUCACUCACUCACUCACGCACACAUACACACUCACUCACUCACACGCACUCACACUCACUCACACGCACACACUCACUCAUUCACUCACUCGCUCACUUGCACACGCACACACACUCACUCAUUCACUCACUCACACGCACGCACACUCACUCACACGCAUUCACGCACACACUCACACGCACGCUCACUCACUCACUCACACACUCUCACUCACUCACACGCACACACUCACUCAUUCACUCACUCACUCACACACUCUCACUCACUCACACGCACACACUCACUCAUUCACUCACUCACACGCACGCACACUCACUCACACGCAUUCACGCACACACUCACACGCACGCAUUCACUCACUCACACGCACGCGCACGCAUUCACUCACUCACUCUUUCACUUACUCACACACACACACUCACUCGCACGCACACACUCACUCAUUCACUCACUCACUCACUUGCACACGCAUUCUUUUGGCAUUUCCUCUCAAAUUCGCUUACAGAAAAAAUGACUGCAGCAGCAUGAUUUUGUUCGAAAUGAAGUCAAGUCAAGUCAAGUCACCUUUAUUUAUAUAGCGCUUUUAACAAUACAGAUUGUGACAAAGCAACUGAACAGUAUUAAUUAGGAAAAUAGUGUCAAUAAUGCAAAAUGACAAUAGUAAACACUCAUUUUUCAGUUAAAGACAGUUCAUCAUUGAAUUCAGUGAUGUCAACAUCCAGC
rnacentral:lncRNA from 1 species